rnacentral:rRNA from 1 species
AUUGAACGCUGGCGGCACGCCUUACACAUGCAAGUCGAACGGCAGCGCGGACUUCGGUCUGGCGGCGAGUGGCGAACGGGUGAGUAAUACAUCGGAACGUACCCUGUUGUGGGGGAUAACUAGUCGAAAGAUUAGCUAAUACCGCAUACGACCUGAGGGUGAAAGUGGGGGACGGCAAGGCCUCACGCAGCAGGAGCAGCCGAUGGCUGAUUAGCUAGUUGGUGGGGUAAAGGCCCUCCAAGGCGACGAUCAGUAGCUGGUCUGAGAGGACGAUCAGCCACACUGGGACUGAGACACGGCCCAGACUCCUACGGGAGGCAGCAGUGGGGAAUUUUGGACAAUGGGGGGCAACCCUGAUCCAGCAAUGCCGCGUGUGUGAAGAAGGCCUUCGGGUUGUAAAGCACUUUUGUCCGGAAAGAAAUCGCGCUGGUUAAUACCUGGCGUGGAUGACGGUACCGGAAGAAUAAGCACCGGCUAACUACGUGCCAGCAGCCGCCGCCG